UACGGGGGGGGUAAGCGUUGUUCGGAAUUACUGGGCGUAAAGGGCUCGUAGGCGGCCAACUAAGUCAUACGUGAAAUCCCUCAGCUUAACUGGGGAACUGCGUGUGAUACUGGAUGGCUUGGAUUUGGGAGAGGGAUGCGGAAUUCCAGGUGUAGCGGUGAAAUGCGUAGAUAUGUGGAGGAACACCGGUGGCGAAGGCGGGUCUCUGGGCCGAUACUGACGCUGAGGAGCGAAAGCGUGGGGAGCGAACAGG
rnacentral:rRNA from 1 species